rnacentral:rRNA from 1 species
CUCAAAACAGCUUACUGAGCUAAUCCGUCUCUGUCGCAAAAGAGUGGAAUGAUUUUCAGGUAGAGGUGAAAAGCCUACCGAGCUUAGAGAUAGCUGGUUUUUCAGGAAAAGAAUUUUAGUUCAACCUUAAGCCUCCCAUUUACUUCAACAAGCCCACUAGGCUCAAGAGCCAGUCAAAUAAGGCACAGCUUAUUUGACAAAGGAGACAGCCUACAAAAAAGGGUAAGCCCUAAGACCAACUUAAGUGGGCCCAAAAGCAGCCACCUUUAAGAAAGCGUUAAAGCUCUAUUUUUACUAAAAACUAAUACCCAACCACCCGUCUAACCCUUUAAUUCUACUGAAGGAUUCUAUAAUUAUAUAGAAGCCCCAAUGCUAAAACUAGUAACAAGAGCUUGAACCCUCUCCAAAAUACAAGUAUAAGUCAAAACGGACUAACCGCUGACAAUUAACACCCUUGACUCAAAUAUAACAACUAGACAAGAAAAUAUUAUAAAAGCUUAUGUUAAUCUUACACAAGUGUAUUUCUGGAAAGAUUAAAAAAAAGUGAAGGAACUCGGCAAACCUUAACCCCGCCUGUUUACCAAAAACAUCGCCUCUUGAUAUAACAUAAGAGGUCUAGCCUGCCCAGUGAUAUAAUUAAACGGCCGCGGUACCCUAACCGUGCAAAGGUAGCAUAAUCACUUGUCUUCUAAAUAAAGACUUGUAUCAACGGCAUCACGAGGGUUAGACUGUCUCCCCUUUUUAAUCAGUGAAUCUGACCUUCCCGUGAAGAGGCGGGAAUACAAAUACAAGACGAGAAGACCCCAUGGAGCUUUAAACCCAAUGACAACCUUUAUUUUACUAUAGCUAUUUAACCAAAAGGGUGUGCCCAUUGGUUUUAGGUUGGGGUGACCGUGGGGUAAAACCAAACCCCCAUGACGAACCUUGUUCAUCCUAAUCCCAGAGCUACUGCUCCACGAAUCAAAACUUUGACGUAAACUGACCCGCUUAGCGAUCAACGAACCAAGUUACCCUGGGGAUAACAGCGCAAUCCAUUUCAAGAGCCCCUAUCGACAAAUGGGUUUACGACCUCGAUGUUGGAUCAGGGUAUCCCAGUGGCGCAGUCGCUACUAAAGGUUUGUUUGUUCAACAAUUAAAACCCU